CAAAGUGCUGUUCGUGCAGGUAGUGUGAUUAACCGACCUACUGCUGAGCUAGCACUUCCCGA
rnacentral:pre_miRNA from 1 species